GAUGAACGCUGGCGGCGUGCCUAAUACAUGCAAGUCGAACGCUGGAAAUCUAGCUUGCUAGAUUGAAGGAGUGGCGAACGGGUGAGUAAUACAUAAGCAACCUACCCACGAAGACUGGGAUAAUCUCUGGAAACGGGGACUAAUACCGGAUAGGUAAUCGGAAGGCAUCUUCUGAUUAUUAAAGGUUAAAAACACUGGUGGAUGGGCUUAUGGCGCAUUAGUUAGUUGGUGAGGUAACGGCCCACCAAGACGAUGAUGCGUAGCCGGCCUGAGAGGGUGAACGGCCACAUUGGGACUGAGACACGGCCCAGACUCCUACGGGAGGCAGCAGUAGGGAAUUUUCGGCAAUGGGGGAAACCCUGACCGAGCAACGCCGCGUGAGUGAUGACGGCCUUCGGGUUGUAAAGCUCUGUUGCAAGGGAAGAACGGUAGAUAGAGAAUAUCUAAAUGACGGUACCUUACCAGAAAGCCACGGCUAACUACGUG
rnacentral:rRNA from 1 species